UCGGGAAUUUUGGGCAAUGGGGGAAACCCUGACCCAGCAACGCCGCGUGAAGGAUGAAGUAUUUCGGUAUGUAAACUUCGAAAGAAUAGGAAGAAUAAAUGACGGUACUAUUUAUAAGGUCCGGCUAACUACGUGCCAGCAGCCGCGGUAAUACGUAGGGACCAAGCGUUGUUCGGAUUUACUGGGCGUAAAGCGCGUGUAGGCGGACUUGUAAGUUGGGGGUGAAAUCCCGAGGCUCAACCUCGGAACUGCCUCCAAAACUACAAAUCUGGACCUAAGUAGAGGCAAGUGGAAUUGCGAGUGUAGAGGUGAAAUUCGUAGAUAUUCGCAGGAACACCAGUGGCGAAGGCGACUUGCUGGACUUAUGGUGACGCUGAGACGCGAAAGCGUGGGGAGCAAACAGGAUUAGAUACCCUUGUAGUCCCUGAGCGGGCUGGCAAGGCGCAU
rnacentral:rRNA from 1 species